rnacentral:rRNA from 1 species
AAUCCAUAGGUUAAUGAGGCGAACCGGGGGAACUGAAACAUCUAAGUACCCCGAGGAAAAGAAAUCAACCGAGAUUCCCCCAGUAGCGGCGAGCGAACGGGGAGGAGCCCAGAGCCUGAAUCAGCAUGUGUGUUAGUGGAAGCGUCUGGAAAGGCGCGCGAUACAGGGUGACAGCCCCGUACACAAAAGCGCAUGUGCUGUGAGCUCGAUGAGUAGGGCGGGACACGUGGUAUCCUGUCUGAAUAUGGGGGGACCAUCCUCCAAGGCUAAAUACUCCUGACUGACCGAUAGUGAACCAGUACCGUGAGGGAAAGGCGAAAAGAACCCCGGCGAGGGGAGUGAAAAAGAACCUGAAACCGUGUACGUACAAGCAGUGGGAGCACCCUUUGGGGUGUGACUGCGUACCUUUUGUAUAAUGGGUCAGCGACUUAUAUUCUGUAGCAAGGUUAACCGAAUAGGGGAGCCGGAGGGAAACCGAGUCUUAAUUGGGCGUUAAGUUGCAGGGUAUAGACCCGAAACCCGGUGAUCUAGCCAUGGGCAGGUUGAAGGUUGGGUAACACUAACUGGAGGACCGAACCGACUAAUGUUGAAAAAUUAGCGGAUGACCUGUGGCUGGGGGUGAAAGGCCAAUCAAACCGGGAGAUAGCUGGUUCUCCCCGAAAGCUAUUUAGGUAGCGCCUCGUGAAUUCAUCUCCGGGGGUAGAGCACUGUUUCGGCUAGGGGGCCAUCCCGGCUUACCAACCCGAUGCAAACUGCGAAUACCGGAGAAUGUUAUCACGGGAGACACACGGCGGGUGCUAACGUCCGUCGUGAAGAGGGAAACAACCCAGACCGCCAGCUAAGGUCCCAAAGUCAUGGUUAAGUGGGAAACGAUGUGGGAAGGCCCAGACAGCCAGGAUGUUGGCUUAGAAGCAGCCAUCAUUUAAAGAAAGCGUAAUAGCUCACUGGUCGAGUCGGCCUGCGCGGAAGAUGUAACGGGGCUAAACCAUGCACCGAAGCUGCGGCAGCGACACUGUGUGUUGUUGGGUAGGGGAGCGUUCUGUAAGCCUGUGAAGGUGGCCUGUGAGGGUUGCUGGAGGUAUCAGAAGUGCGAAUGCUGACAUAAGUAACGAUAAAGCGGGUGAAAAGCCCGCUCGCCGGAAGACCAAGGGUUCCUGUCCAACGUUAAUCGGGGCAGGGUGAGUCGACCCCUAAGGCGAGGCCGAAAGGCGUAGUCGAUGGGAAACGGGUUAAUAUUCCCGUACUUGGUGUUACUGCGAAGGGGGGACGGAGAAGGCUAUGUUGGCCGGGCGACGGUUGUCCCGGUUUAAGCGUGUAGGUGUGUGUUCCAGGUAAAUCCGGUUCACUUUAACACUGAGGCGUGAUGACGAGGCACUACGGUGCUGAAGCAACAAAUGCCCUGCUUCCAGGAAAAGCCUCUAAGCAUCAGGUAACAUCAAAUCGUACCCCAAACCGACACAGGUGGUCAGGUAGAGAAUACCAAGGCGCUUGAGAGAACUCGGGUGAAGGAACUAGGCAAAAUGGUGCCGUAACUUCGGGAGAAGGCACGCUGACACGUAGGUGAAGUGAUUUACUCAUGGAGCUGAAGUCAGUCGAAGAUACCAGCUGGCUGCAACUGUUUAUUAAAAACACAGCACUGUGCAAACACGAAAGUGGACGUAUACGGUGUGACGCCUGCCCGGUGCCGGAAGGUUAAUUGAUGGGGUCAGCGCAAGCGAAGCUCCUGAUCGAAGCCCCGGUAAACGGCGGCCGUAACUAUAACGGUCCUAAGGUAGCGAAAUUCCUUGUCGGGUAAGUUCCGACCUGCACGAAUGGCGUAAUGAUGGCCAGGCUGUCUCCACCCGAGACUCAGUGAAAUUGAACUCGCUGUGAAGAUGCAGUGUACCCGCGGCAAGACGGAAAGACCCCGUGAACCUUUACUAUAGCUUGACACUGAACAUUGAGCCUUGAUGUGUAGGAUAGGUGGGAGGCUUUGAAGUGUGGACGCCAGUCUGCAUGGAGCCGACCUUGAAAUACCACCCUUUAAUGUUUGAUGUUCUAACGUGGACCCGUAAUCCGGGUUGCGGACAGUGUCUGGUGGGUAGUUUGACUGGGGCGGUCUCCUCCUAAAGAGUAACGGAGGAGCACGAAGGUUGGCUAAUCCUGGUCGGACAUCAGGAGGUUAGUGCAAUGGCAUAAGCCAGCUUGACUGCGAGCGUGACGGCGCGAGCAGGUGCGAAAGCAGGUCAUAGUGAUCCGGUGGUUCUGAAUGGAAGGGCCAUCGCUCAACGGAUAAAAGGUACUCCGGGGAUAACAGGCUGAUACCGCCCAAGAGUUCAUAUCGACGGCGGUGUUUGGCACCUCGAUGUCGGCUCAUCACAUCCUGGGGCUGAAGUAGGUCCCAAGGGUAUGGCUGUUCGCCAUUUAAAGUGGUACGCGAGCUGGGUUUAGAACGUCGUGAGACAGUUCGGUCCCUAUCUGCCGUGGGCGCUGGAGAACUGAGGGGGGCUGCUCCUAGUACGAGAGGACCGGAGUGGACGCAUCACUGGUGUUCGGGUUGUCAUGCCAAUGGCACUGCCCGGUAGCUAAAUGCGGAAGAGAUAAGUGCUGAAAGCAUCUAAGCACGAAACUUGCCCCGA